CUCUGCAGCAGAAGGUUGGAUCCAGGGGGAUGACUCCAGCUGAGGAAUCAUCCAGAAGCAGCAGCCAGAGGAGAAAUUGGCGGAAGUGGACCUGAGCCACCUGGAAAUCCUUCUAAGCAGACAUGAACAGUCUUCAGCUUUCUGCCUCCCACGUAACUGCCUUACCAAGGGAAAAGAAGUCACGUGUCACUGUCUACUGCCUUCAUGUCAUGGAAAGCGAGCGAGAGCGAUGGGACCUCAAGAACUACUGAUGCCAAGGAAAAGCUGUCCUACUGGGAGUGGAACAGUCACCACUCUCAAUGAGAUAAGUGUCUGUUUUGGUGAUUGCUCUGCUCCCGGCCCACCUUGCUCCUGGUAGGGACGCUCCAUUUGCUGGGGCUGUGUUUGUAAGAAAGUGUUUUUGACUAGCUGUGUUUAUGAGGGA